rnacentral:rRNA from 1 species
AUUGAACGCUGGCGGCAGGCCUAACACAUGCAAGUCGAACGGUAACAGGAAGAAGCUUGCUUCUUUGCUGACGAGUGGCGGACGGGUGAGUAAUGUCUGGGAAACUGCCUGAUGGAGGGGGAUAACUACUGGAAGCCGUAGCUAAUACCGCAUAACGUCGCAAGACCAAAGAGGGGGACCUUCGGGCCUCUUGCCAUCGGAUGUGCCCAGAUGGGAUUAGCUAGUAGGUGGGGUAACGGCUCACCUAGGCGACGAUCCCUAGCUGGUCUGAGAGGAUGACCAGCCACACUGGAACUGAGACACGGUCCAGACUCCUACGGGAGGCAGCAGUGGGGAAUAUUGCACAAUGGGCGCAAGCCUGAUGCAGCCAUGCCGCGUGUAUGAAGAAGGCCUUCGGGUUGUAAAGUACUUUCAGCGGGGAGGAAGGGAGUAAAGUUAAUACCUUGGCUCAUUGACGUUACCCGCAGAAGAAGCACCGGCUAACUCCGUG